AUGAACGCUGGCGGCGUGCCUAAUACAUGCAAGUCGAGCGAACGGACGAGAAGCUUGCUUCUCUGAUGUUAGCGGCGGACGGGUGAGUAACACGUGGAUAACCUACCUAUAAGACUGGGAUAACUUCGGGAAACCGGAGCUAAUACCGGAUAAUAUUUUGAACCGCAUGGUUCAAAAGUGAAAGACGGUCUUGCUGUCACUUAUAGAUGGAUCCGCGCUGCAUUAGCUAGUUGGUAAGGUAACGGCUUACCAAGGCAACGAUGCAUAGUCGACCUGAGAGGGUGAUCGGCCACACUGGAACUGAGACACGGUCCAGACUCCUACGGGAGGCAGCAGUAGGGAAUCUUCCGCAAUGGGCGAAAGCCUGACGGAGCAACGCCGCGUGAGUGAUGAAGGUCUUCGGAUCGUAAAACUCUGUUAUUAGGGAAGAACAUAUGUGUAAGUAACUGUGCACAUCUUGACGGUACCUAAUCAGAAAGCCACGGCUAACUACGU
rnacentral:rRNA from 1 species